rnacentral:rRNA from 1 species
GAUGAACGCUGGCGGCGUGCCUAAUACAUGCAAGUCGAGCGAACAGAUGAGGAGCUUGCCCCUCUUACGUUAGCGGCGGACGGGUGAGUAACACGUGGAUAACCUACCUAUAAGGCUGGGAUCACUUCGGGAACCCGGAGCUAAUACCGGAUAAUAUAUUGAACCGCAUGGUUCUAUAGUGAAAGCCGGUUUUGCUGUCACUUAUAGAUGGUUCCGCGCCGCAUUAGCUAGUUGGUAAGGUAACGGCUUACCAAGGCAACGAUGCGUAGCCGACCUGAGAGGGUGAUCGGCCACACUGGAACUGAGACACGGUCCAGACUCCUACGGGAGGCAGCAGUAGGGAAUCUUCGGCAAUGGGCGAAAGCCUGACGGAGCAACGCCGCGUGAGUGAUGAAGGUCUUCGGAUCGUAAAACUCUGUUAUUAGGGAAGAACAUAUGUGUAAGUAACUAUGCACGUCUUGACGGUACCUAAUCAGAAAGCCACGGCUAACUACGUG